UACUAGUGGUUCUCCCACCGUUUCAAAUCCAAUGUUUGAUCGUUCGUCUUAUUUAAAAAAAAUAUGAUUAGUAUUUUUAUUGUUAUUACAUAAUAAAACAUGAAUAAUAUUUUAUGUGUGACUAUUUUUUUAAUUUUUUUAUAAAUUUUUUAAAUAAUACGAACGGUCAAAACGCUAAACGCGGAUAUCUAUAGCUGCACUUUUU
rfam:Oryza rufipogon genomic scaffold, chr11